AUUGAACGCUGGCGGCAUGCCUUACACAUGCAAGUCGAACGGCAGCACGGGAGCAAUCCUGGUGGCGAGUGGCGAACGGGUGAGUAAUGUAUCGGAACGUACCUUUCAGUGGGGGAUAACGUAGCGAAAGUUACGCUAAUACCGCAUAUUCUGUGAGCAGGAAAGCAGGGGAUCGCAAGACCUUGCGCUGAUUGAGCGGCCGAUAUCAGAUUAGCUAGUUGGUGAGGUAAAGGCUCACCAAGGCGACGAUCUGUAGCGGGUCUGAGAGGAUGAUCCGCCACACUGGAACUGAGACACGGUCCAGACUCC
rnacentral:rRNA from 1 species